ensembl:lncRNA
GAGGGUGGUUAGUGGAAGCAACUGCCAUGGGUUCCUUUUCAUCCGCGCUGACUAAAUCCAUUGCCAUCGCGCUUCUUGUGAGGCCCAGAGGGAGCAUGCGAAGGGGAGAGGCAGGACCAGAGUUGAAGCGAAUCCAUAGGCGUACCAAUGGGUCUCCGGUUCCUUGAUGCGGAGACAAUGGUGUGGUUGACCGUAGGUGUGUGUCCUCGGAGGAGCUUGGAUGAGAAUCUCACAUGAAGAUAAGUCGACUUUUAAUUCAACGAACCCUUUUCUGCAAAAGCUUGUGCCCCAGUGGGGGAAUUAAGGAGAUGAGGUACAGAAAACUGCUCUGCUGCAGGACAGAUUUACUUAAAUGUAGACCCGCUAGAUGAAAAUAAGCAACUCACUUUACAGAAGCCACAAGGGGUCGCUGCUCGGGGUGUUAAGUGUACUUCUGGAUGGGGAAGAAUUAUAUUCUUGGAGAUGUUGAAAAAAGAUUCCUGGGUCUUGGAAGAUAAUUACUAGAAAUAUGCAGGUAUUUGACGUAACAUGGAGUAAAGAUGCAAAUACACAGCAGCAGAGUUAGAGGAGGUUGCCUUUCCCCCCAAAGCUUGAAUUUUAUCCAGUGUGUGCUUCUGAUCAUUGGAAACCUUGUCUAACAACAGAAACAGCAUAUAAAGCAUAACCAGCUUUGAAAUGUAUUAAGGCGUGGUUGCCCGUCCCAUGUCAGGCUUGAUGUUGAAAAGACGACACUGCCAAGUUAGCAGAAGAAACAAAUCGAAGGGUGUUGUUCUCCAAGAACACCAUUUAUCAGAUUUAUCAAGAAUUCAAAGAUUUAUAUAAUAAGGUAGUCCGUCCUUUGCACCAUUUCAACAUAUGCCUGAAUAUCAGUUUUCACACUGUAGACAAUACCUGUCCCCCAACGAGACUGAACUUUUAGUCACAGUACUAACUGAAUUAUUCCGUAAACGUUGCUGCUAGCUCUUUAUUCCAGAAUCAUUAUGCAAAUAAAAGAUGUGCCUCAUGAAUCUACUUUGGAUUGAGGACUGUAAUAAAAAACAGUUACAUCACUUCUUUCAGAUUCUUGGUGAUUGAAAACAUCCAUUAGCUGCAGAUGGUAAAGCUGUGUUCUUCCUUGUCUCCCAUGCAACAUUUUACAAAAAUGGAUCAUCAGAAGAGGGAAUUGGUCAACAGAUAUGACAGCAAAGAAAUGAAAAGUGCUAACACUGGAAAUGAAAUUAGAUGUGGUUAGAAGAUUUGAAAAUGGUCACAACAAAGCAAAAAAUAGGACAAGACCUGGGCCUACAUGACACUACAGUACAAACCGUAUUUAAAAGUCUGAUGAGUUCCUGCUAUGGUGCAAAAGGAUCAGCAGCCUCUUGGGGAGUGCUGGGACGCAGGUUUGGUUCCUGGCACGGUGGGUUGAGGAUCCAGUGUUGCCACAGCUGCAACUUUGGUUGCAGCUACGGCUUGGAUCUGAUCCCUGGCCUGGGAGCUCCAUAUGCCUCGGGAGCCAAAAGAAAGGGGGGGGGGGAUGGUUCAACAUCUUGUAGUUUAAAUUGCACUAGGAGCGGAAAGCUGCUUAUGGUUGAAAUGGAGCCUUUAUUUCUACUUUGGAUUAAGGACUGUAAUCAAAAACAAAUCCCAUUCAGUUAGGCACUGAAGUUAGUUGCUACAUGUAAGGAAAAUGCUAAUUACAAGGACAUCUUUUUAGUACCAGUAAAGGCUGGUUUCAUCAUUUUAGAAGUUAACAUGAAUUGAUUAAUGUUAAGCUAUCUGGUGAAGCUACAAGCUCAAAUAAGAAUGCUACUGUGAAAUUUGCACCCAGAUUCCAAGAAUUACAGGCAUUCCUCAUUUUGCACAGUAGUGAGAGACGACUGCAAAAAACUGCGAGAUUCGGAUGGAAUGUAAAUGGAGUUAAGGAAGGUAAUGAUGACCAUGGGAACACUGCUGCCUGCCAUUCAAGGAACAGUUCUAGACAUGCGGGAAGCAGAACUUAAGGUGAAGUUCCAAGUGAAGAAAGCGGUUGUAAAGCAUGAGUGCAUCUCAGGAAGUGAUGGUGUUGACAGACUUAGGCUGAAGGAGCUCUGCAGAGAUCCAUCGUGACAUUGACGGCACAGAGGACAAAUUUUGGAAGGUGAUUCAGACUUAGAAAGGAGGAUGGCAAUUUACGAAGGCAUAGACAAGAUGCUCAGUAAGUUGUAAGAUGAGUAGAAGGCAGCACUUUUCAAACUAUAUUUUUUAUAAAGAAAACAGUUUCAAUGUUUCUAGUGUUUUAAAUGACUUUAUUACAUUUAUAACCAACAUCAAGAGGGGUUUUUAAUGUUUUGGCAAAUUUUAAGGUCACAGAACAGUCAUAGGGUUUUUUUUUUUUUUUUUUUGUUUUUUUAGGGCAGCACCUGUAGCAUAUGGAGGUUCCCAGGCUAGGGGUCGAAUGGCCGCUGCAGCUGCUGGCCUACACCGCAGCAAUGCUGAUUCUUUUUUUUUUGUCUUUUUUUUUUUUUUUUUUUUGCCACUUCUUGGUCGCUCCCGCGGCACAUGGGGUUCCCAGGCUAGGGGUCCGAGCCUCGUCUGCAACCUACACCACAGCUCAUGACAACUCUGGAUCCUUAACCCACUGAGCAAGGCCAGGGAUUGAACCCGAAACCUCAUGGUUCCUAGUCGGAUUCGUUAACCACUGCGCCACGACGGGAACUCCGGCAAUGAUGGAUUCUUAACCCACUGGGUAAGGCCAGGGACUGAACCUGUGUCCUCAUGGAUCCUAGUUGGGUUUGUUACCACUGAGCCACAAUGGGAACUCCUUAAAAUACUGAUUGUGUUAUUUGGACAUUGAGCAUGAAUCCAUUUGUAGACAAAAUCCUGUCUAAUAGAAUAAGGGUUGGCAACAUUUACCUUUAAGAGCCAUAUAGUAAAAAUAUUUUACCCUUUACAGGCCAUGUGGUCUGUGUAGCAACUAUUCAGCUUUGCUCUUGUGGCACAAAACAGCCAUGGACAAUAACAAACCAUUAAGCAUGGCUGUUCCAAUAAAACUUUGUGGACACAAAAAUUUGAAUUUCACAUUAUUUUCCCUUGAAACUUUUUUUUGCCAUUCUUAGCUGGCAGGGCCUACAAAAGGGGGUGGGGUGUGGAGGUUUGUAGUUGAAUUUCUGCAAUAGGAACAUGUAGUUGAAGUGUAAGAUUGUAUUAAAUGAUACCAAAAUAA